UUCUACAAAUCUGAAAAAGGGAGAAAGGGAUUAGGUUUUAAUUUUUAAGUUUUCGAUUCUUACUAGACCUGGACCGGCGACUGAGGAAACCGCCGGAGCUGCUAAUGGGUGAACCGCCGCACAAGGCUGUUCGAGACGAGCCCUAGAACAUGCGGCGGAGGCUGGCAGCGUUGGCGAGGCUGAGAGGAGAAGAACCCCGCUAUGCCGGCUGCAUCAGGUGAAUCGCGUCCCUGUCUGGACGCUGGUAUGGCGGAGGAGGGCGGCGCCUCCGCGAACCGGAGAUAAGUGAAGAAGGAUCCCUUCACUUGAACUUGGCACUUAUGGAAGGAAGGGAUGACACAUGCACAAUAAUGAGAGGAUUCUCCCAUUAAAGCGUUGGAGGGAGUUAAGGGGGGAAAUAUGUUUUUUCCUUUUUUAAGUGAUUGAAUGUACCAUCUUUUAAAGUCAAAUGCAAUAAUGCUUAGGUGUUGUAU